rnacentral:tRNA from 1 species
GCUGAGGUAGCUCAGUCGGCUAGAGCACUCGCCUGAAGAGCGAGGUGUCGUGGGUUCGAGUCCCACCCUCAGCA